rnacentral:rRNA from 1 species
UACAGAGGUCCUAAGCGUUGUUCGGAUUCACUGGGCGUAAAGGGUGCGUAGGUGGUGGGGUAAGUCGGAUGUGAAAUCUCCGAGCUCAACUCGGAAACUGCAUUGGAAACUACCCUGCUAGAGGGUCGGAGGGGGGACUGGAAUACUUGGUGUAGCAGUGAAAUGCGUAGAUAUCAAGUGGAACACCAGUGGCGAAGGCGAGUCCCUGGACGACUCCUGACACUGAGGCACGAAAGCUAGGGGAGCAAACAGG